rnacentral:rRNA from 1 species
GACAAGGUUUCUGUAGGUGAACCUGCAGAAGGAUCAUUA